AACAUCAGUCAUAUGAUAGAUUCGAUCAGCUCAAGUUCAAUUAUGACUUCUAUGAAAACUUUUUUCCAUCAAUCAUACUAUUGUGGCCACAGACUCUCAAACUUAACCUCUCAAAUUUCAUAGGACUACUCCUCUCUAUCAAGGUCGAUAGAUUCCAUCUUGAGCGCACCCUACUCCUACAGUAGACCAACUAUCACCAACAUCCACUAUAAAAGCUCAUUGAGACCUAUGUUAAUGUGUCAAUCAAACUCCAAUAGCUCACUGCGAGCAGUAGUGCCAUCUC
rnacentral:lncRNA from 1 species